GACGAACGCUGGCGGCGUGCUUAACACAUGCAAGUCGAACGGUGAAGCGCCUUCCUUUUUGGUGGGUGUGGAUGAGUGGCGAACGGGUGAGUAACACGUGAGUAACCUGCCCCCUUCUUCUGGAUAACCGCAUGAAAGUGUGGCUAAUACGGGAUAUUCUGGGUCUGUCGCAUGAUGGGUCUGGGAAAGAUAUUGUUUCGGUGGGGGAUGGGCUCGCGCCGUAUCAGCUUGUUGGUGGGGUGAUGGCCUACCAAGGCGGCGACGCAUAGCCGACCUGAGAGGGUGAUCGGCCACAAUGGGACUGAGACGCGGUCCAGACGCCUACGGGAGGCAGCAGUAGGGAAUCUUGCGCAAUGGGCGAAAGCCUGACGGAGCAACGCCGCGUGAGUGAGGAAGGUCUUCGGAUCGUAAAACUCUGUUAGUAGGGAAGAACAGAUGGGUAAGUAACUGUGCACAUCUUGACGGUACCUAAUCAGAAAGCCACGGCUAACUACGUG
rnacentral:rRNA from 1 species